CAGGUCUGGAACAAAAGCUUGCACACCCAGUAGGCCUAUAGCUUUCCGUGACCAGUUGAAUAGAUAGACUCAUAGAGAAUAUAGAAAUUGAGCUGAUGCGUUAGGCUACAGCUUAGCUACAGAUUGUUACACCGUAUAAUGUAAUUUAAUCAAAGAUGUUUGGUAUUUAUUACCGGGAGUUAUAGGUUAGGCACUGGUUGCACAGAGAAUUUUAGACCAACCUUAACUUGCUGAUAUUAUCUUUGUUCUCGAUUCAGUCAAACAUGUAUCCUUCAAAAUAUCUGUGUCCAGUUGCAUGUGGUAUGUUUGAAUUUAGAAAAUGCUCCAUGAAUUAAUCCAACAAUGUGUACACCUCCAUCUUGUCUAUUUCAAAUCUUCUCUCAUUGAUUAAGACAGGUGUCCACCCCAAAGUGCCGCAGAUCGAGACACUCACCUGUCUCGAUCAAUGAGAGAAGAUUUGAAAGAUGGCGUGUACACAUUGUUGGAUUACUUCAUUACUUCAAAUUCAAACGCACCACCUGUAACUGGACACAGACAUUUUAGAAGAUACAUGUUUGGAAGAAAUUGUUAAGGUUGGUUGAAAAGUCUCUGUGCUAGACCAAACAAAAGACAACGUUCCUUCGGUCUGGAGCAUCAUAGCUGCUGACCUGUGGCGAAGAAUCAUUCGGAUGAUGCCUCCUGAGGAUGUCCUAGAUGAGGAGACGUCUCCAUCAUCAUCGUGUGAAUCCCCUGGGACCAACAAGGCACAGGGUGGUCAGCAGGGACGAGAGCCCAACACUCAAAAUGUCCCUCCAUGAGUGGCACUCAUCAGGUAGAAGAAAAAGAGGAAGAAGAGGUACCUCAAGGCUCCAUUUUCUUCCUAAUCCUUUUGUGAUUGGACGAACGUGGUCACACACACACACACACACAUUACUUAUGUCAUAUAUGUGGCAGUGCUGGCAGCCCAUUUGGAUCCCAAGGGGCAGCCUGAGCCUUGUCUGAGGGGGAUGCUGGGAGAAGUGUAUUAGGGGGUUGGAAGGGAGGGAGGUGGCACAGGGGGGUGGGGCCUGGAGGCAGCGUCGGGCUGGUUAUGAGCAGCUGCCUGUCUGUAAAGACAGUGGGCGACGCUGCAGCAGCCAGGAGCACAGCUCUCCGGUUACAGUACCUGUCCAUAAAACCAGGCCUCUCGUCCCACUCUUUCCCCUCCAGAGGCCCCCCAAGGUCCCUCGGCACGCCCACAAACCGCACAGGCGACGAAAGCUGCGGCUAUGGGGCCACAACCCCACAAACAAGGGGUAAACAAGGGGAUCUUUUUGAUGUCUGCUGCCCAACAUUGAGGGUCAGAGAUCCAAAUAGGAUUGGGUGCUGCUGGGUAGUACAGGUGGUUGAGUAGGGGUGUCAGGUGGUGGUGGCAAAUGAAGACACCCCAGAGUGAGCUGGGCUCCUAAAAGCAACGACCAGAAUGCAAGGACCAUCCCAUUUAUUGGUUUAUGUUAUUAGUGCAUACCAAAUACUGUUAUAAUCGUUUAGUAUUUCUAUGUACAUUGAUGAUAAUAAUAAUGAUAGAAACAGUAUUGGUAGUUAAAAUUAUAUCAUGUAUAAGCAGGCAAUGUGUUUUUUUACCCAGACCCUGGUUGUCAACCUUGUACCCACCACGGCACACCACCCAGUUGAUCUCCUCGUUAAAAUAUCUUGCAUACCGUAUGACAUUCAGGAGCCGAUGAAGGACUCUGAGAGAGCAGAGCGAAGGACAGUUUAUGGCGGAUUUCUUUACUGCACAGUUUGGCACACCCCCUUUUUUUUGUUUUUUACUGGGAUAGGAGAAGGCUUAACAGUUCAGAAACUAGUAAUAAGCGCCAUGUGAACUAUACAGGUCCUUAAAAUGAGCUCUCAGAUGCUGUUUACAAGACCAGUACCUUUUAAGAGUCUGUCUUUUCCAACGGCGGGAAGUCAAAUUGCCCUGCUCUUAAUUAUUGUCAGGGUGCAUGAUUUUUUAUGAGGACCAGUCACAAUGCGAUACACCCACCCAUUUUAUUUUGACUCUUAUUAAAAGAGAGCGGUUGGUUCAGUACAUUUAUUUAUUUAUUUAGGUUGUCAUUUAUGUAUUUGUUUGUUUAUUUGUUUAUUUAUGUUUUUGUUUAUGUAUAUGCAUAUGAGGUUGACUUUUGGGCACAUUGAAAACAUGAAUGUGGCUUUGCGGUUUAGCAGCCUCUAGCUAGCACUGCUUGCUAUGAGGUGUGAGCUUUGGCAGUGUGGGUGAGCAUGGUGCUCCGUAGACCAGUAGCCAGUAGGUGGUGGUAGUAACACUAGUAUGAAUCAGACUCCUGUAUUGGCCAAUGAUGUGUAUGUCUAGGAUCUUGGCUCAGUAACCAGGGGAAGGGAGAUGGGGAGAAAUGGAAGGAGGGGCCUUUGGUGCACUGUGCUUCCUGUUAGUAGGCACUGGGGAACUCAGGCAUUUACAGAAAUGACAUGCUGCUGACACUGAGCAGCUCAGUAUAGCUGGAUCUUAUUGUAAAAGCUUGGCUAGCAAUGUGUUUGACUUGAAGCACAAUUUACAAUCAAUGUAGAAAGCCGUCCCAAUGAAACCAUAUGUUUGAUGGAACCAUACAUUAUUAUUACAAGGAUUUAUAGUCAAUGCAGUACAUCCCACUCAAAUCUGGAUGUUUGGAGAAAACAUUUCAAUAUUGUGAAUGGAAAUUCAGUUAAACUUGGCAUUAGCAGGGCACUGUUUAGUCAGAGACGGUCAGUGUUUAGUCAGAGACGGUCAGUGUUUAGUCGGGGACGGUCAGUGUUUAGUCGCGGACGGUCAGUGUUUAGUCAGAGACGGUCAGUGUUUAGUCGGGGACGGUCAGUGUUUAGUCGGGGACUGUCAGUGUUUAGUCGGGGACUGUCAGUGUUUAGUCGGGGACUGUCAGUGUUUAGUCGGGGACUGUCAGUGUUUAGUCGGGGACGGUCAGUGUUUAGUCGGGGACGGUCAGUGUUUAGUCGGGGACUGUCCGUGUUUAGUCGGGGACUGUCCGUGUUUAGUCGGGGACGGUCCGUGUUUCGUCUGGGACGGUCCGUGUUUCGUCGGGGACUGUCAGUGUUUAGUCGGGGACUGUCAGUGUUUAGUCGGGGACUGUCAGUGUUUAGUCGGGGACUGUCAGUGUUUAGUCGGGGACUGUCAGUGUUUAGUCGGGGACUGUCAGUGU
ensembl:lncRNA